GUACAAAAUCAACAAGCUGUUACCAAGACAGGUGCUUGGGUUACCAUAAACCAGGUGCACUCUAUUAGCACAUUGUCAUGGCUCGACCAACAAAAAACAGGACAUUUAGUGUAAACUUAGUUCACAUUUAGUGUAAACUUAGUUGCUCACGGACAUUUCCCUUGCCUCAUGAAGUCUAGAUGGAUCAGCCUACACUACGAGGCACAAGCCAGCGAAACCAGACCCCAUCUAACACCACCAUUUGAGUUUCUCCAUUCUUCAUGCAUGCUCGACGGACUCACUAUCAGAAAGACAUGAAGAACGCCUGAAUGUUAGGAUCAUUUCAAUGGAGUUAAAUCAAAUGAGGACAACUCAUGGUGCAUUUACCUUGCAGGUUCAGACAAAGCUUUGAUUGUAGCCAGUAUUUCUUUUAGCUCCUUUUCUCCAUACAUUUGUGUAUUUUUCCUCUCUUCCCAAAACAAUCUUCCAAGUUCCUUCUCCACGUGGUACUCUAGUUUCCGAGAAGCAACGAUCAUAGCUCCAAGGCGGUGCCCAAGCAAAGAUCAAAGAAACAUAACAGAGAUGGCACCGAAUAAGUAAGAGAACUAAUUGUUCAAGGAUUGAUAAUAGAGGUACAUGUAUGGAAC
rnacentral:lncRNA from 1 species